UUUACCUACUUCUUUUGCUUUCCAUUCUUUCUUUUCCUGCUUGCUGUGAAUAACCAUCAUCAGAGGAAACCUGGAGAUAAGGGAGAAGACAUGAGACUCUGGAACAUCCUAUGGGUGCUUUUUCUCUUGGUUUUCUCAUUCCUGCACUCUGUAUGAUAUUGGGUGAUGCCAAGAAGUGUGUUUACACAUUACCCCAAAAAAAAAGUUGACAAGGAAAAGCUUAACCGAGAGAAUGAGAAACUGAAACUAGAGAACCCAGACACUAUAUGAAGUGCCCGUUCCAUGUGGACUCCAGAUAUGUAAGAAUUUUGUUGACUUGUUUUUAUUUUGCAAUAUGAUGUUUCUUGAAAGAAACAGUAAACAAUGAAAGAUCACUCAGAAAGUUUGGAUUGAUUAUUUAGUAUCCUUUCCUGUAUUUUGUAUGAGUGAAACAAUUUCAUCACAUUUGUAAAAGGCUAAAAUUGUGAGAGCCAACAGCAACUCAACCAUUUCUUAUCUUGGAGAAGACCAAGACAAAAAAAAAAAACAGUAGUCAUAGUCAGAAAGUCUCCAACACUAGAUUAUUAUUCCACCUAUUUCUCUGUGCUGUCAUUUAAACUUAUUUAUUCAUUUAUUUAUUUAUUUAUUUUCUACUCUUCUUGAUUCAGUUGAGAGUGCCCAUUUGGAACUCACUAUGCAAUGAAGCAAUGUGAACCCAUGGAUGAAGGGUAGAUAUCAGGAAAAUUUUGUGGAUUUAUCACACUGGUAAAGAUGUUUACCCUGAUGUUUAUGGAAGUGCACUGAAGUUACAUCCAGAAUAUGCUGGAAAAGGGAUUUCAGGAAAUAAGUUUAAGCUCAUGGCUUCCAUGAGCAUGUGAGCAUUCUUUGGAAGUACUC
rnacentral:lncRNA from 1 species